rnacentral:rRNA from 1 species
CGGGUGCGUAACACGUGGAUAAUCUGCCUGGUGUGUCUGGGAUAACCAGUCGAAAGGCUGGCUAAUACCGGAGAAGCCCCCGGGAGCUUCGGCUCCUGAGGGAAAAGGUGGCCUCUGUAUACAAGCUAUCACAUCCAGAUGAGUCCGCGGCCCAUCAGCUAGUUGGCGGGGUAAUGGCCCACCAAGGCAACGACGGGUAGCUGGUCUGAGAGGACGAUCAGCCACACUGGAACUGAGACACGGUCCAGACUCCUACGGGAGGCAGCAGUGGGGAAUUUUGCGCAAUGGGCGAAAGCCUGACGCAGCAACGCCGCGUGUGUGAUGAAGGUCUUCGGAUUGUAAAGCACUUUCGACCGCGGACGGAAAACCCGUUGGCUAACAUCCAACGGCUUGACGGUACCGGGAGAAGAAGCACCGGCUACUCUGUGCCAGCCGCCGCGG